rnacentral:rRNA from 1 species
AGUGAACGCUGGCGGUAGGCCUAACACAUGCAAGUCGAACGGCAGCACAGUAAGAGCUUGCUCUUACGGGUGGCGAGUGGCGGACGGGUGAGGAAUACAUCGGAAUCUACUUUUUCGUGGGGGAUAACGUAGGGAAACUUACGCUAAUACCGCAUACGACCUACGGGUGAAAGCAGGGGAUCUUCGGACCUUGCGCGAUUGGAUGAGCCGAUGUCGGAUUAGCUAGUUGGCGGGGUAAAGGCCCACCAAGGCGACGAUCCGUAGCUGGUCUGAGAGGAUGAUCAGCCACACUGGAACUGAGACACGGUCCAGACUCCUACGGGAGGCAGCAGUGGGGAAUAUUGGACAAUGGGCGCAAGCCUGAUCCAGCCAUACUGCGUGGGUGAAGAAGGCCUUCGGGUUGUAAAGCCCUUUUGUUGGGAAAGAAAAGCAGCAGGUUAAUACCCCGCUGUUCUGACGGUACCCAAAGAAUAAGCACCGGCUAACUUCGUG